rnacentral:rRNA from 1 species
AAAGUCCGUAACAAGGUCUCCGUUGGUGAACCAGCGGAGGGAUCAUUACCGAGUUUACAACUCCCAAACCCAAUGUGAACGUUACCAAACUGUUGCCUCGGCGGGGUCACGCCCCGGGUGCGUCGCAGCCCCGGAACCAGGCGCCCGCCGGAGGAACCAACCAAACUCUUUCUGUAGUCCCCUCGCGGACGUAUUUCUUACAGCUCUGAGCAAAAAUUCAAAAUGAAUCAAAACUUUCAACAACGGAUCUCUUGGUUCUGGCAUCGAUGAAGAACGCAGCGAAAUGCGAUAAGUAAUGUGAAUUGCANAAUUCAGUGAAUCAUCGAAUCUUUGAACGCACAUUGCGCCCGCCAGUAUUCUGGCGGGCAUGCCUGUCCGAGCGUCAUUUCAACCCUCGAACCCCUCCGGGGGAUCGGCGUUGGGGAUCGGGACCCCUCACACGGGUGCCGGCCCCUAAAUACAGUGGCGGUCUCGCCGCAGCCUCUCCUGCGCAGUAGUUUGCACAACUCGCACCGGGAGCGCGGCGCGUCCACGUCCGUAAAACACCCAACUUUCUGAAAUGUUGACCUCGGAUCAGGUAGGAAUACCCGCUGAACUUAAGCAUAUCAAUAA